rnacentral:tRNA from 1 species
UGCGGUGUGGCGAAAUCGGUAAACGCGCAGCCCUCCUACUACUACGGUAUGAGGCGCCAGUGCCCCAGGGCUUCCGGGUUCGAAUCCCGGCGCCGCGA